rnacentral:rRNA from 1 species
AUUUGUUUUUUAAUAGGAAACUGGGAUGAAAGAGUUGACAUCGCUUAAGCUAUUUUAACAAAUAGAUAAAAAUUGAUAUUCGCAUUAAAAAGUGCGACUUUUUAAAGGGACGAUAAGACCCUAUAAAACUUUACUUUUUCGAGUAUUUAUAUUUAGGAGUUUAGUUUUUUAAAAGAGUUGAGCUGGGGCGGCAUUUAAAAGUCUUUAAAAGCUAAAACAUUUAUUUUUGAAUUUAAGGAUCUUAUAAAGAUAUAGAACAAGUUACUUUAGGGAUAACAGCACAAUAUUCUCAGAUAGAUCUUAUAGAUGGGGAUGACUUGUGACCUCGAUGUUGAAUUUGAGGGGCCCGACCCAAGCAAGCAUGGGUUUGGGGGGUCUGUUCGACCUUUAAUUCCUCA